rnacentral:rRNA from 1 species
UACGUAGGGUGCAAGCGUUGUCCGGAAUUAUUGGGCGUAAAGAGCUCGUAGGCGGUCUGUCGCGUCGAAUGUGAAAACCCGGGGCUCAACCCCGGGCCUGCAUUCGAUACGGGCAUCACUGGAGUUCGGCAGGGGAGACUGGAAUUCCUGGUGUAGCGGUGAAAUGCGCAGAUAUCAGGAGGAACACCGGUGGCGAAGGCGGGUCUCUGGGCCGAUACUGACGCUGAGGAGCGAAAGCGUGGGGAGGCGAACAGGAUA